rnacentral:rRNA from 1 species
CUCCCCGCCGAAGCAACAGUGUUAGGUAGUCACGGGUGCGAGGUUGGGCGCCCGGAGGCAGCCCGCACUCGGUAAUGAUCCUUCCGUAGGGUAACCUGCGGAAGGAUCAUUACCGAGUGCGGGCUGCCUCCGGGCGCCCAACCUCCCACCCGUGACUACCUAACACUGUUGCUUCGGCGGGGAGCCCCCUAGGGGCGAGCCGCCGGGGACCACUGAACUUCAUGCCUGAGAGUGAUGCAGUCUGAGCCUGAAUACAAAUCAGUCAAAACUUUCAACAAUGGAUCUCUUGGUUCCGGCAUCGAUGAAGAACGCAGCGAACUGCGAUAAGUAAUGUGAAUUGCAGAAUUCAGUGAAUCAUCGAGUCUUUGAACGCACAUUGCGCCCCCUGGCAUUCCGGGGGGCAUGCCUGUCCGAGCGUCAUUGCUGCCCUCAAGCCCGGCUUGUGUGUUGGGUCGUCGUCCCCCCCGGGGGACGGGCCCGAAAGGCAGCGGCGGCACCGUGUCCGGUCCUCGAGCGUAUGGGGCUUUGUCACCCGCUCGAUUAGGGCCGGCCGGGCGCCAGCCGGCGUCUCCAACCUUAUUUUUCUCAGGUUGACCUCGGAUCAGGUAGGGAUGCCCGCUGAACUUAAGCAUAUCAAUAAGCGGAGGAAUCAUUACCGAGUGCGGGCUGCCUCCGGGCGCCCAACCUCCACCGUGACUACCUAACACUGUUGCUUGGCGGGGAGCCCCUAGGGGCGAGCCGCGGGGACACUGAACUUCAUGCCUGAGAGUGAUGCAGUCUGAGCUGAAUACAAAUCAGUCAAAACUUUCAACAAUGGAUCUCUUGGUUCGGCAUCGAUGAAGAACGCAGCGAACUGCGAUAAGUAAUGUGAAUUGCAGAAUUCA